CGCGGCCUAUCAGCUUGUUGGUGGGGUAAUGGCUCACCAAGGCGACGACGGGUGGCCGGCCUGAGAGGGUGACCGGCCACACUGGGACUGAGACACGGCCCAGACUCCUACGGGAGGCAGCAGUGGGGAAUAUUGCACAAUGGGCGAAAGCCUGAUGCAGCGACGCCGCGUGAGGGAUGACGGCCUUCGGGUUGUAAACCUCUUUCAGCAGGGAAGAAGCGAAAGUGACGGUACCUGCAGAAGAAGCACCGGCUAACUACGUGCCAGCAGCCGCGGUAAUACGUAGGGUGCAAGCGUUGUCCGGAAUUAUUGGGCGUAAAGAGCUCGUAGGCGGUUUGUCGCGUCUGCUGUGAAAACGCGGGGCUUAACCUCGCGCGUACAGUGGGUACGGGCAGACUAGAGUGCGGUAGGGGAGACUGGAAUUCCUGGUGUAGCGGUGGAAUGCGCAGAUAUCAGGAGGAACACCGGUGGCGAAGGCGGGUCUCUGGGCCGUUACUGACGCUGAGGAGCGAAAGCAUGGGGAGCGAACAGGAUUAGAUACCCUGGUAGUCCAUGCCGUAAACGUUGGGCACUAGGUGUGGGGUCCGUUCCACGGGGUCCGCGCCGCAGCUAACGCAUUAAGUGCCCCGCCUGGGGAGUACGG
rnacentral:rRNA from 1 species